GUCUAGCACUGUGACCCAGCACAUUCCUGGUGGCUGCUCAUCCUCACUGUGGUGAGAUUGAUUUUGGCUCUGGCACAGGCCUAAGCUUCCCCACGACCCCUGCAGCACUUUCCUGGACUGUAUGUAUGCUCUAUAUGGCCAUGUGCCCACCUGGCCUUUGGCUGAGCAUUGUCACAACCCUGCUAUCCCUGGGGAGCCAUUGUCCUUUAAAAGAGCCUGGCAGCAUCCCCAUUGUCACAGUAGGCACCUGCAGAGCCUUCAGUGAGGUGGGUCCCAAAUAGGACAAAGAAGACCCUCUGGGCCUUUCAGGUAUCACAGAGAUGGGUAGCUGUUCCAAUGUUCUCCCACUUGCCAAACCUCUCUGGCAGCUGAGCCGCCCUCAGCCCUAUGGGACCUCCUCUAGCCACAUGAGCUGAUGAGUCUGGUCUUUGCUCUGGGGCUCCUUGCCCCUAGCCCCUCAGCCCUCUGGUGGCCACUGUUCCUGUGCCUGUUGCUCGUCUUGGCAGCCCCCAGCCUCUCACCCUGCUAAUGAUGUUGCCUAUCAGAGACCCCACUCAGACCCCUGGUGUGGUCCACCUGCUGGCUGGACCAUCCAGC
rnacentral:lncRNA from 1 species